AUACGUAGGGGGCGAGCGUUGUCCGGAAUGAUUGGGCGUAAAGGGCGCGUAGGCGGCCCGGUAAGUCUGGAGUGAAAGUCCUGCUUUCAGGGUGGGAAUUGCUUUGGAUACUGCCGCGCUUGAGUGCAGGAGAGGUUAUCGGAAUUCCCGGUGUAGCGGUGAAAUGCGUAGAGAUCGGGAGGAACACCAGUGGCGAAGGCGGGUAACUGGACUGCAACUGACGCUGAGGCGCGAAAGUGUGGGGAGCAAACAGGAUUAGAUACCCUGGUAGUCCACACUGUAAACGAUGAAUGCUAGGUGUAAGAGGUAUCGACCCCUUUUGUGCCGGAGUCAACACAAUAAGCAUUCCGCCUGGGGAGUACGGCCGCAAGGUUGAAACUCAAAUGAAUUGACGGGG
rnacentral:rRNA from 1 species